rnacentral:precursor_RNA from 15 species
GACGCCACCAGGGCUUGUUCUAUCCGGUGGAACCCGUAGAUCCGAACUUGUGGGGCUGUGGUCACAAGUUCUUGUUUAUGGGUACCUACUGGUAGAAAAAACGACCAGGACCAGGC